UACAGAGGUCCCAAGCGUUGUUCGGAUUCAUUGGGCGUAAAGGGUGCGUAGGUGGCGUCGUAAGUCGGGUGUGAAAUUUCGGAGCUCAACUCCGAAACUGCAUUCGAUACUGCGGUGCUUGAGGACUGGAGAGGAGACUGGAAUUUACGGUGUAGCAGUGAAAUGCGUAGAGAUCGUAAGGAAGACCAGUGGCGAAGGCGGGUCUCUGGACAGUUCCUGACGCUGAGGCACGAAGGUCAGGGGAGCAAACGGG
rnacentral:rRNA from 1 species